CAGUCGCCGCGGUAAUACGUAGGGUGCGAGCAUUGUCCGGAAUUAUUGGGCGUAAAGAGCUUGUAGGUGGUUUGUCGCGUCUGCUGUGAAAAUCCGAGGCUCAACCUCGGACUUGCAGUGGGUACGGACAGACUAGAGUGUGGUAGGGGAGACUGGAAUUCCUGGUGUAGCGGUGGAAUGCGCAGAUAUCAGGAGGAUCACCGAUGGCGAAGGCAGGUCUCUGGGCCAUUACUGACACUGAGAAGCGAAAGCAUGGGGAGCGAACAGGAUUAGAUACCCCCGUAGUCCCUGUCUCUUAUAC
rnacentral:rRNA from 1 species